rnacentral:rRNA from 1 species
GGAAUAUUGGUCAAUGGACGGAAGUCUGAACCAGCCAAGUCGCGUGAGGGAAGAAGGUCCUUCGGAUUGUAAACCUCUUUUGCCGGGGAGUAACCGGGCGGACUUGUCCGCCCCUGAGAGUACCCGGAGAAAAAGCAUCGGCUAACUCCGUGCCAGCAGCCGCGGUAAUACGGAGGAUGCGAGCGUUAUCCGGAUUUAUUGGGUUUAAAGGGUGCGCAGGCGGCGUCACAAGUCAGCGGUCAAACUGCGGGGCUCAACCCCGUACCGCCGUUGAAACUGCGGCGCGGGAGUGUGGGCGACGGAGCCGGAAUGCGUGGUGUAGCGGUGAAAUGCAUAGAUAUCACGCAGAACUCCGAUUGCGAAGGCAGGUUCCGAGUCCGCCACUGACGCUCAUGCACGAAAGCGUGGGUAUCGAACA